rnacentral:misc_RNA from 1 species
AAGUCGUAACAAGGUCUCCGUUGGUGAACCAGCGGAGGGAUCAUUAAAGAGUAGUUUUUUACAACAACUCCAAACCCAUGUGAACUUACCUAUGUUGCCUCGGCGGGGAAACUACCCGGUAGCUACCCUGUAGCUACCCUGUAAGGACUACUCGUCGACGGACCAUUAAACUCUGUUUUUCUAUGAAACUUCUGAGUGUUUUAACUUAAUAAAUUAAAACUUUCAACAACGGAUCUCUUGGUUCUG